UACGGGGGGAGCAAGCGUUGUUCGGAUUUACUGGGCGUAAAGGGCGCGUAGGCGGCCUCGGCAAGGCAGUUGUGAAAUCUCCGAGCUUAACUCGGAAAGGUCAACUGAUACUGCGGGGCUAGAGUGCGGAAGGGGCAACUGGAAUUCUUGGUGUAGCGGUGAAAUGCGUAGAUAUCGAGAGGAACACCAGUGGCGAAGGCGAGUCCCUGGACAACACCUGACACUGAGGCACGAAAGCUAGGGGAGCAAACAGG
rnacentral:rRNA from 1 species